UAGUGUCCUUGGGUGGGGCCGCCCACGGGGCGAUGGCACCCCAUCCCAACCCCUCACGCAACGGGGCCAUGAGAGCCGGGCGCCAGGCCGCGGGGCCCGCGUGACUCUGGGGGGAGCAGCACCCGUGUAGAGGAGGGGUCAGGAGUCUCCCUAGGGGCUCAGCCCCUGCCUGAUGUCACACUCAGCUCCAUGGGAACCCGACAGCUGCUGGCGGUAAGUGUCCACUGCCCCGCUGUCACCAGAAGGAGCCCGGCCUGAGGGGUGAUUCCCUCAGCGGUGUGACCUUGAGCCAGUCACCUUCACCUCAGUGUCCUCAGCCGCAAAUUGGGCUUGUAACAGGGUCGCACCCACCCGAGGCCUCACCCCCUCACCUCACACACUUCUCCAUUUGGGGCCAAGGCAGCUCGAGCCCCCGGACGUGGCCGUGGAGGGGAGGCUGAGGGCUGGCAGGAAAGGGCAGCUUUAGGGGAGCAAGCCUGGUCAGGGAGGGGGCGCCAGGGCUCCAGGAGCCUCUGCAGGACCCCCGCAGCCCCCACCAGGCUCAGGCUCCCUCCUGGGGACCCCGGAUCUGCACCCAGGUCGGGGGGCCGAGGCAUGCGUCUGGGGGCUCCCCCCACUCGCAGGCCUCCCCACCCCGCCUGGAGGUGGUCACCCCAGAGACCUCUUCCUGAAGGACAGUGAGAAAUCAGAAACUUCCCCUUUAAGAGGACCGCGCCUUUAAUCCGUGAAUCACCUCUCUAACUGGAGUCCCUGGCUAGGACCCGGCCUCAAGCGCCUCGGCCAGAUAAGGACAAGAAUCCGCCUUCAUUCUUUUAAAACUACUGUAAGGGAAACCUCCAACCCAGCAUGCCCACGUCCCUUCCAAGUUUGUAAAGGAAAUGUUCUAGAACAUCAUGUGAAGUCCCGCAAACGAGCGCAAAGCCAGUUCCCCCGUUCCUGUCGGUGGGUCAGGAUCCCACUCUUUCCCAGGCCCUGUGGCUCCCUUCUCUGCACAGUUGGAGCUACAGGGCACCGGGUUGGCCGGGGGUACAGAACCUCCUCAGGGGGCCGGCCGCCCCCCCAUGUGUCCUGACCCACGCUGCCAGGGGCAGCACCCGGCCUCUCUCCUGGCUGCUCCUCCCAGGAAGCCUGGUCCUUGCAGUGGGAUCCCAGGGGCGCUCAGAGGCCCCCUGCCAGCCCCACCUGGAAGCUGCCCGGGAUCCGGCGGCAGGCACGGGGCGGACAGCGCACACGCAGCCCAUCUCCGGGAUCCCUUUAUUCUGACCCAGCCCUGCAAUCCAUCCAAGCGUGGGUUCAGAGGCCGGGAUGUUUGUGAAAUCGACCUCGGGGCUGCGGCCUCCAGGGGUCCUGCCCGGACGGCAGAAGGGCUUCGGCCUCGCCUGCCUUGGUUUGUGUUUUGUGACUCUUUUUUUGUCGUCCUUUCACUUUCAAACUCCAGACACGCUGUCCUGGUGUGCGUUCUGAACGUGGCCUUCAGGGGCGUUUGACCCUGUCUGAUGGUCUUUGUUUUUCAUGGAAGAAUCGAUCACCUUCACAUUUAUUGCUACAGCCAGUAUUUGGUCUUUAGGAUGCGUUUUUGAUGCUAAGAAUGUGCAGGAAGGAACACUUUUCCAUCCAUGAUUUUUGAGGGCCGGCAGGAGGCUGUAGGUCCGAGGGCUGCUGGCCACGCAGCUCACUGAUCGAGACCCGCGGGCCAGCCCUGCCCUGGGCACCUCCGCUCGCCAUCCCGACUGCUGGCCUGGCAGCUGCGGUCUGAAGGAAGUGAUGUCUUCCCAGGUCAGGAUUUUAAGUUCAGCUGCUCCCCUGUCUUUUGGCUGCGGGGGUGACAACACUUAUGGUCCCCGGAGACUGAGAGGCCCUCCUCCAGUGAAGUCUGGAUGGCCGCUUGGGGAGCAAGCCCGCCACACCACCCUGAGCCCUGUGCCCACCAAAGACUCGGGGAGAAUGUUCUCCUGUGCACAGGAGAAAGGACGGCAAGCCAAGGCCCCUCCACGCCACGGACUCCACGCGUGACACCACAGAGCACGUGUGAGCUCCAAACACAUCGUGCCGAGUGAAAGACGCCAAACUCACACGUGCUGUGUGGUUCCGUCUGCGGAAGCUCGAGGGUGGGAAAGCUGAUCGGCGGCGGGAAGGGCACAGGGAACUUUCCGGAUAAUGGAAGCGUUGUCUGUCUUGAUGGCGUGUGGGUCACGUGGGUGUGUGUUUGUCACAGUUCUUAGAAUUGUGCACAUUCAGAUGCUUUAGAUUAAAAGAGAGAAGCUGGAAUUUCUGCCACCGGCUCCCCGUCUGCACCAUCUCUGGGGGCUCUGGACCGUCCUCCCCCUCCCUGUGGCUGUGUGUCUGCUCCCCAGCACACGUCCACCCCCUGGGGUGGGGAGCUGGGAGCCUCCCUCCCUUUGCAGCCUCAUGGUCCUUCUCACAGCCAGAACGGGGCAUUUUUAAAAUUCAUACUGACCCCUCCCCUGAGUGUGAAUCGGCUGGGACACCACCCCUGGGACUCUGCAGGGUAACUAAGGUCCCAAGGCAGUUGACUUCAGGUUAAUCAAAUGGAAGAUUCUCCUGGGUGGGUCAGACCUAAAAGACAUCAGAGAGAUUUCUCCUGCUGGCCUUCUAGGAACUGCCCAUGGAAGGCGGCCAGGCACAAGAGGGGACCCCAGCCCCACAACAGCCAGGAUCUGAACCCCACCAAGAACCACGCCCGCAGGACACACACUUUCUCCUUGAAACUCAGCCUCUCUUUUAGCCUCGACCUCACGGCCCCAUCAAAUGCUCUGAACUUUCUUCUCCAGUUGAGCCUGAGAGAAUCUCCUGGAUGGUGCAAAACGGCACCAGGGUCAAC